AUUGAACGCUGGCGGCAGGCUUAACACAUGCAAGUCGAGCGGAGAUGAGGUGCUUGCACCUUAUCUUAGCGGCGGACGGGUGAGUAAUGCUUAGGAAUCUGCCUAUUAGUGGGGGACAACAUUCCGAAAGGAAUGCUAAUACCGCAUACGUCCUACGGGAGAAAGCAGGGGAUCUUCGGACCUUGCGCUAAUAGAUGAGCAUAAGUCGGAUUAGCUAGUUGGUGGGGUAAAGGCCUACAAAGGCGACGAUCUGUAGCGGGUCUGAGAGGAUGAUCCGCCACACUGGGACUGAGACGCGGCCCAGACUCCUACGGGAGGCAGCAGUGGGGAAUAUUGGACAAUGGGGGGAACCCUGAUCCAGCCAUGCCGCGUGUGUGAAGAAGGCCUUAUGGUUGUAAAGCACUUUAAGCGAGGAGGAGGCUACUGAGACUAAUACUCUUGGAUAGUGGACGUUACUCGCAGAAUAAGCACCGGCUAACUCUGUGCCAGCAGCCGCCGUAAGAC
rnacentral:rRNA from 1 species